UGGUUUACAAAUGCAAUUUCGCCCUUUUGAAAUGUCGGCAUCGACUUCUUCUUUGAGUGAAAUUAUUCGCAAAUUUUCUCGAGAAUAUAAACUCAUCCCAGCACCACCACGAUGAUUGUGCAGGGGAAAAGUCCCUCUAUUCGAUAGACUUUGAAUAGCUAGAAAUUUGCGCAAGGAGCCAUUGUUGACGUUUGCGACAGAGGCCUUUAUGAAUGCUCAGUAUAGAAUUGGUCAUAUUUUAAAUUGCUGCUGUUUUCGGCGGUCAGCUAAUGAAAACAAAGAUGGCGACGAUUCGUAACGAGUGGCGGCAGCUGCUACUUUGAUGGUGGUGGCGUUGCGUGAGUGCAACUCUGCUCUGUGCUCGUUUGCAUUUCAUUAUUAUCGUGUUUACAAACCGUCUUUUUGAGUUAUUUUGCUCCGUGCAAAAAAGAAAAAUUAAAGCAUUUUUCGUUUGCUAUUUGCGAUGGAAAAUUACCAAGAUGAGAUAAGCCGACCGUCAACUGUGAACGGUUGUCAUUCACGUUUUUGUAGUUGCAAAAUCCGCAAAAAUUCGUGCACGAUAACACCGCAUGUGAAUGAUGUGUGUAUAGUGUGACGUGUAGUAUGUGAGCGGUCUCCGCUUUGAACCGGUUCUGAGUGGGAUGUGCGACGACGACGAUGUCACAUACGUAUACGACGUACGGAUGUGUGCGAGCGUGACGCGAAUCUAGUUAGCCUCGGUUGAAAAAUAAAACAUUACAUCUGUCUGACGUCAGGGAUGUUUGUUUCUAGUUAGAACGGGUGUAUUUUUCGCUACUAUAAGCGGGUGAGAGUAGUGCUGUGAGUGACGCCAAUUAUUGUUUUCAUCCGAUCGUUAUCGCGCUUGGAAGCGUGAGAACCUUUUGGAAUAUCCCAUUUAAUUGGGAAUGGACCUCGUGAAUCGCGCUACGUACAAGGCGAUUGCCACUUUUGCUUUCAUCAGACCGGAGCUAAUUAUCAUCGCGCUUCGUAGAAACGUGUAAAAUUACACCCGCUCAUUAAAGGCGCAGCCAUUUUGCAUCGCUCGCUCACUUACCGUCUUCGGCGGCCUGCUAUGCGAAACCAAGAAGGGAAAGAAUACGGCGAAAGGCACACGGUCGAUAAAUUGCGUCUUUAGAACACGCGAGAUGCGCAAUAGAAUCGAGGGAGAAACGGCCGAUGUGCGGAUAAUCGUCUUAGCCUGGAAUGACGUGACAGCGUGUGUAAUCUAAUCCCGCAAAGUCAGCUCAAUGUCAGUCCCCAUUCCCAGGGGUGCUGCCCCGUCCCUGUCUGUCGUCGUCGGUCAACCGCUACCACUCUGCUGACGCUCCCUGCCUUCAAAACAAAACACAUCAACUUGUAUAAUAUUCUUGAACCUGUGAUGACUUUCUUUAUUUUUUUUUAUUUUUUUAUUUUUGUAUAAAAAUAAUAUACUAAAAGUAGUCUUAUUUUUGUACUUCUUUGUAAAUAGAAACAAUUUUUUUUUUCGAAUUUAAGAAAAGAUAGAGAGCUUCAAUUGACCCAACUUUGGACGACACUACUUUACUCUGUAUACUCACUCACUUUGGCUGUUCUGUUUUUUUUAAGGUAACCGAAAUUUGACUCCCGGUGAUUUUGAUUGAGCUAUCUUUUCUUAGCAGAGUGUACAUUUAACGAUUGCAAAAAUAACUUAAUGACUGACUUUGUACCGGUUUCCGGUGUGAUUGGGUGCGUGGGACCCGAUUCGUUUAGUGACUCCGGGCAGGCUGAUGAUGAUGAUGAUGAUGAUGAUGAAUAGCGUGACAAUUGUUUCGUUUGUGAAUCAAAACAAAGCUCUAGCUAGUAAGGUUUUAUAAGUUUAUAUUAGGUAUGUAAAUGUUUUGCAAAACAAGAAAAUACAAACAAAACUGAGAACAGUGGAAAGACAUAAAAACGGAAAACACGCUGAGGAAAUGUUAUAAAAAUCGUUAAUUUACUAACGACUGCCAUUUUAAGCAUAGUGAACACUAUUUAGCCUGCCCCAAUCGACAAAAUAAAAAGGAAGGGAAAAUGGGUAAGACUUAUACAAAAAAAAAAAAAAACAAGUGAAAGCGUGAAUCUUUAAUGGAGAGAACGAAUUUUAAAACCUACCGUUUUACGUUUUUGUACAUAUAUCGACAUUUUUACGAGAUCGUAAAAUAUUUAUAACAAAACCACCACCACGACAACAACAUCAUCCACACUUGACGUUUGACACGGGAGCAGAAACUACUGCUGCUGUCAACCGUGCAAUGCCCUUAGCCGGCCCAUUUAUCGGAAAAUUUUCCAAAUUUCGACAACUGCAACUCAAUAAAUAAUAUUCAACUGUGAUUGUGAUCAAAACAGAAUGAUGCACAUUCGACGAGCGCACACGCACACAGUCCUUCCGUCCUGCGAAAAAAACGAAAAUAAUCGGAUGAACAAACUUCCACCGUUUCACCGCCGCCGCCGCCAUCCUCAAUGUGGCUCUGUGUUCGGGUUGAAGGGUUACGUCCUCGGUUGACGUACGCCAUUUUGUAUGGGUAUUUUUUUUCCAUUCCAAUUUUUGUCGCACACUCAGCAGCAGCAAGCGGACAUGUGUCAAUUGUUUGCAGACUUCUUCUUUUUUUUCUCUUUCUUCCUUGCAAAUCAUUUGCAAGUCACUUUUGCUUGCCCUAAACUCGUCGUAUCGUGUGCGUGCAUGUUGCAAGGCGAUGGGUGAAAAAGGGUGAUCUAAUUCACAAAAAAUGUUCGAUUUUAAUGUUUAAUUGUGUGCACACACACACACACACUCACACGCUGCCACCACCCCCCUUCUGAUCUGAUCGGUCGGCAGGCAGUGUUUAGAAAGCAAUCGAAGCGGUCGUCGGUCGUCAUGGCAACGUUGCAACAGUCACCGAUGCAGCGACCGCAGAUUGGCGAAAGUGGCAAACAUUUGACACAUCUUUCCUCUUCUUCGUGUUUCUGGUUUCCCCCCGUGCGUGCCCAGAGCGUUGUGUGUUCCAGCAGCACCAACCAGCAGUUUUUCCUUGUUUGGACAUGUUUGAACGUGUUUUUUUUUUUUUUCGUUCGCCGCUGACUUUUUCGCGAGUGAUUACGACUUUCGAGGUGGAGGAAAUUGGUGCAUCCAAAGUUUUAUUUUUUCGUAGGAAAGUGUAAAGUGUGUGCGCUCAUUUUUCGUUUGUUCAUUUCGAAGGGAAAUUUUCGGGGGGGAAAAUGCAACAGUUGAAGAAAACCUAGCGAAAGCGAGCUGAACUGUGAUUUUUUUUAUUGAGUUAAAUUUGCGUUAAGAAUUAUCAUUUGCGCUCCAUGAAAGGAGAAGUAAAUGGAACCCCUAGGGAAACUGGAUUUUCCGAACAUUCGUUGGGGAUUUUUUUUAAAGCCUUCGCUAGCGCGUAGGUGGAACAGAGGUGGACUGACUUUAGUGAAAAAAAAAAUCAAAUGCUAAAACAACCGAAGGGUGCAAACUAGAUCAUAGGAAUAGGAAAAAAGGGUAGAAGAAAGCAGGCUAAUAAAGGGGAGUAGAAGGAUUUUUUGGGUAAAAUUUGUCUUCUCUUAUAAAAGGGGCAGAUUCGAGGAGUGCGACGGCGUGAAUAUUUUCCGGUACCUGGGCAAAGUGCGUGAACGUGAUUUAGCUGCUAGUAGAUCUCCGCGCCUCUAAUGUGAUCCGAGCGGCGCGGAGGGGAAGAGAAAACGAGAAAACUAAAAUCGUGAUAUUUGAAAGUCAUACUUACUUAGUUUAAGGUCUCCUUCUGUGAAAUCCAAACGAAACAGAAACAGCUUAUAUGUAUACAAAACGUUUAUCUAUCGUAUUAUGUGGAAACAAGUCAAUCAUGUUUAUUUAACAAACGCCAACCACCACCACCACCAUACAUAAGAAGAAGAAUAGGAAGAGGAAAAAAAGUACUAGCGAUAGAUAAGUGAGACAAUGGAUGAACAUUUGUUACACGAAUGGCAACAGCAACAACCCUGAAAAGUCUGAGAAAGUUUAGUUAGUUUGUUUAAUUUUUUUUUAUCUUGAGAUAAGAACAAGCAGAGAGAGGUUACUUUAGGGAAUGGGAGAUCAAGAUUUGUUGUGAUUAAUAAAAUAACUGAAUAGUAGAAAAAUGAUGACCUACACGAACGCUUAAUGAAUAUAUUUGAAUGUGAUACUAUAUAUUUUUAUACAUUUGGAUACAAAUGUAAACAAACGGCUAAGAAACAGGAGAGACAUCAGUGCUAAAUUUCAAAACACAAAGGUAAAACGCAAACCCAACAAAAUCUGUACAAUAAAGUUAGCGAGAACUCAUAUAUAGAGAUUAUAUACAAAACAGACACACAAACAACAACAACAACAACAACAUACGCUACGGAAUCGUGAAACCUGGACUUUACACAAGAGCAAACACAAUAACAAGAAAAAAUCUAAGUAAACAAAACAACCAUUCGGCGAAAGAAAUGGAUACCAACCUACCUAUUGUGAUCGUUAAUAAGAAAACAAAAACAAAUGAAAGAAAGCAUAAGAAAAAAAUAGAGAUAUCAGCUACCUUUUUAUAAUAGCAAAGAGAAAAAUCUAUUUAUAAAAAAAUACUAUCACAUUCAUUGAUAUAUUUACCAGUAAUCAUUUUUUGAAUAAGAGAAAAAAACCAAAGCAAGACAUAAAAACAAAAAAAAAAAACAAUCGAAAACCGAAGCGGUGUCACAGUUUUAGAACUAGAAAUUUCUCAUUUGUUUUUACCUCCGUACGAAUGCGAAAUCCGUGUAAGACCAAAGUCGUGAUUUUGCAAGCUUCGAACUCCGUCAAUUCCCCCGCCCGGAAAGAUUGCAACGUCGUCCCCCGCCCCCUUAAUUGUGUACGACUGUUGUUUCGCCUUUGUUGAAAUGUAGACUUUAAUACCUUUCAUAAAGUCAGUACCACCAACACUGUUAAGUAGUACUACCCAAUUGCACCCACCCUCCAUUAUUGUUUCCAAGGACGAAGAUGGUUUAGAAUUGAAGUUUUUUGUGCGUACGUGCUAGUCAAGUUAGGUUUAUUUAUGAAAUUGAAUUUCUGCGAGCAGUUAUAGUUCCUAAAACGUGUGUGCAAAUCGUUCCGGGCUGCUUUCCACCAUCUACCAGAAGCACCUUUUGGCACAGAAAACGGUUGCGGGAACUUAAAUGUAACCUCUUUCAGUCGCAAUCAAGUUGCUGCAACUUAAUGUGACGACAGGGUGUUUCUUCGGUUUACCUACUUGAGUUCAUUAAAAAAAAAAAACGAGGUGAAAACAAAUGACGAAAUCAAACUACUUAAGGUAAAGAUCAAGAUCGUGUGAUUGUCGGUGAAAAUCUGUAAUGUUUGCUCGACUUUUUUUUUUUAGGGUUGAGAUAGGAAAAAGUCUAUUCACGAUCCAAACCGGGAGCCAAAAUGGAGCUGAAAAUGUCUGAAAAUAUUGUUUUAAAUAUUUUUCGAUUCCAGAGAGUUUUGCUUUUUUUUUGUAGUGUUUAGUACCAAUCAGAUUCGAUCCGAGCGGAAGAGGGAGUGUAUAAGCUUUUAUAAUAUUUAAAUACACACACACAAACAAACAGGAGAACACUGACGGUAGGGGUUGGUAAACGAAAUCAAAACUAUUCGAAAGGAAGACAGCAACAGCAGAAGAUUAAGGAAGGCAUAGCAAAACAUAAGACUUUAAGCAAAACGUACAAAUUACUUAGUAACUCGUUUUUAUAUAGAACAACAUAUAUAAGCAGAGAGGUACUGACCACAACCACACCAAGAGCAUCAAAUGAAGAAUAUUAUGAAAGUUUAAAGCAACCCGAUACCUACUCCCUUAAGAUUAAGGAAAGAAAACUCGUCGUUUGAUUUCAACGAGUCCGCGAUCGAAAGGUUAAGCCUGGUUCACACUUUUCUCCACCGUCGCCGCCUGAUGUCUUUCGCUCACGUUUUGCUUUUCUCGCUGAAAAGAAGAAAAAGAAGUGCUAAAACUGUAUCGCCACGGACCAGUGCCAGCAGUCCAGCAGUAGUAGGCAGCCUUAUAUGGGGUGUUGUGGUAGAGUAAAAUGCAAAAAAAAAAGCAACGUAAAACGAAGCAGGCUGCGUGGAGUGGAUAACCAGUUUGGUUGGUGCGCUGCCGCCGCCUGCUUCGUUCGUACGCUUCGAGAGGGCAAAGAAAUCGAGAAGAAGCCCUGAACAUAAAUAACAAAGAGCAAAACGAAACGAAAAUAAUAAAAAACUGGAUUGGCAACUUUUCGAUCAACUUUUACAUUAUACCUACCGUGCAGCCCCCUGCAGGCACUGCCGCUGCCGCUGGUUUGGGUGGUGGUGAGCGAAUGGUGAAACACAAAGAAGAAGCACAGGGCAAACGAGAGCGACACGGUCGACGACGGCGGUGGCGAUGAAGAAGGAGGUCAGCUCCAGGUUUUUCGGAUAGUUUGAUCAGGAUACUAUUUUAAUAACAAUCGAGAUGAAAGAAGAUUAAUAGACACGCUCUCACACGCACACACACGCACACGCACGCAGCAAGAACAACAACAACUUUUCUGAAAUUGUGUGUGUGUGUGUGAGUGUGUGAAUCCUGCGCUGGAGGAAUCAUCAUUCGAGCUUGUAGAAGACGUGUUUUGGAUUAGGAAUACUCUUUUUCCCGGGGGGAAAAAGAAGAAGGCUAGAAACAGCAGCAUUUGUUUUUUCUACAUUAGUUUUUAGGUAAUUUUCAGAUUUUUUGUGUGUUUACACAAAAGCGAAGAGAAGAGGAGCACACACUUAGUUCUCACUUUAGUCAUUGAGAUGGAACAGACGGAAGGCAAAUAAAAACGGUCAAAAUACAGACUCCGAAUGUACAAAUUUUAUUGCUAUUUUAAAACGAGAACAAAAUGAACUUUGAAAUGGAAUCAUGAUUCUCAUCAAAAUUAAGAAAACAUUAGAAAAAAAAGAAACACAAACAUACAUACAAACACACAUACACACAAAUACGCUGACAAGAAACUGAAUACUAAUUAAGAGAAACUAUGAAAAAAACUGUGAUUUAGUGGAGAGAACACGAAUAUUUAUAUUACAACUGAGCGAGAAAACAAACAUGAAAGCGAAAAAAAAAAAUCAUUGCUAUUGGUUUUUUUUUAAAAAGAGCAGAACUUAUUUUAUUAAGCAGCAACAAAUAAGUCAGAACAAGCAGACAAGCAGAGUAACUAAGAAAACAGCUAAACACAACAUUUACAAACUGUGAACACGUAACUUUUAAGGGAGAUGCUAAAUAAACGGCAAGCGUAAAUCGAAACAAACAAGAAAUACAAAUCACUGUGUAAAUAUUAUAAUCGAGGCAAAAAUGUUAUAUAUGUAUAGAGAUCUAGAAACAAAUGCAAGCCUCUCCCUCCAGCAGCGCCGUGAACAACCACCCUGGAAGGGCACCAUUUUGAACUGUGCAACUCUCUUCCUGCUCUGUGUUUGUGAGUUUUGCUUUCGAUUUUGCUUUCGCCACACGUGUGUGAACGAACGUAUGCGCCCGUGUUCGAGGAUGUGUGCGUGUGUUCACGUUUUCGCUGAACCCGCCACCGACGAGUUCGAUCGAGUGUUAGUUUUUUCUUCCCUUAGUUGUAGUAGUCUGUAGAGUGUAACUUUUAACCCGUGCGGUUGCGAGAGAGAGAGAGAGAGUUUGGUUAACUAGCUUUUAAUGGCCAGCAAAACAGAAAAAAAAUAUGUAUGGAUUUGCACAGUUCAAUAUUGAGGUCCCCUUCCCUCCCUGAGGGGGCGCAUCAGGGCCGGAGAGGCAAGGACGUGAACGGUGAAGUUAACGGAAAAUUCGAUGAAAAUGCAGUAUUUUUUUGUAACUAAAAACAAGCAAAGAGAAAAUGAAAAAAAUGAACUGAAAAUUGUACAAAAAGAGAAUUUUUUUAUAAGAAAACAGCACGAGGAGAAUGAAAAAAAAAACGUUAUGAAAAAAAAAAACAAUUGUUGAAGCAUUUAUAUACGUAAUGUAAAUUUAUAGAAACGAUCGUUUUUAUUAUUUAAUAACGAAACACAUGAAUGGUGACAUACGAUCAGACAGAAUGGAAAGCACUGCGGCGAAAGUCGCUCUACCAUGCGAUCUUUAUGUCAAAUAAAUGCAUCAAAAUUCGACAAAAAUCAUUCGAAAACAAAAACCAAGCGAAGGAAAAUCCAAGAAGAAAAACUCUGUGUAUAUGUAUAAUGUAAAUUAUUUCGGAUAAAGUUCAUGCGUAGAUUGUUUCAUUAUUAUUUCUUAUUUAUUUUCUUAAUUUCGAUGAUACCAAAUUGCUAAUGCAUGAAGAGGAAAAAAAACACAAUAAUUGUAAUGCAAAUGACUCCUCAUGGCUGUGGCCGCCAUCGCCGCCGCCAUAUUGAAGAUGUUUGCUCGCUCGCUAAUGCAUACUCAAAAUCCGUACUCGAUUUAUUUACCAUUCACACGCGUGUGCAAGCCUCUCGCUGUCCCACUCUGCCGUCCCUCACAUCCGCUGCGAGAGUGUCGAACGGAUGAACGGGGAAGGGUGGUGGAGCGAGAGGAAGCGCCCGUGCAGUAGCCGAGGGAGGAAACACUUUUGCAAAAAAAAGAAACAAUGCAAAAUUAUCCACAUGCAUUAAUUAACCGAAAAGAGAGGCAUCCAGGCAUCGUCUUGAUAUGUAGUGAAACAAAAGAAGGGAAAAUAUAAAAAUAAACAAUUGAAGAAAUUUUAAUACCCGAUGCCCUAUUGUCUUAGAUGUGUCCUACUAUUUCUAUCGAGCGAAGCGAAGCUAAGAAAAUUUAUUGGAAGUAAUAAAACUGUCAAUACACUCUUUUUUCGAAAGCGAGCAUAAACAAGAAAAAAAACAAAAAUCCGUAAAUUCACUUUCACAAUAGAAGCAAAUGAUGAUGAUGAUAAAAAAGAAGAAGCACCCUUACCUAAUGCAUGUAACUAUAGAGGGAUAAACAGUAACACAUUUUUGCAGCGGAAAACAAAAGAAAUGAAAGGAGAAAAUCAUUGAAAUUCAGCAGUUUACAAACCAAUCUUAAAAUUUACACGUUCCCGCAUGUUAUAGUAGAGCGUAUCAUGUAAAUGUACAUUUGAAACAGAAACGCGUAUAUUCCGAAAUCAAUUCAAUAUUAUCUAUCCCGGUAAACCAGUACAUUUGAAUCCAAUUUUAAUGAAGGUAAUUAAACAAAAAAAAAAAACGCCACUUUGGUGCAGAGAAAAUAUAACACUGUAAAUACAAAAACCAUCAUUGAGAGUAAAAAUCAACAAUAACCCCCUUAAACCGACGAGCAAGCACACUCAUACAUACAUACACAUAUUUUAGUAGUGGUUACACAACUCGUAGAGAACGUGUCUUCUUUGCUUUUCUAGAACUUUUGCCCCUUCCCCUUUCUCCCUUCCCCCCUUCCCCCUCACCAAAACGAAAUUCGAACCAUCGAAAGGCUAAUUGAACUUUUCCUUUUUCGAAAUUUCUCGAUCAUUUGUUUGUUCACACACACACACACAUACACCCACAAACAACACGGUGACACGGUGGUCGAGAAAGCGGUUAAAAAGCGUAAAAGUAUCAUCCCUAAUUAGUUCACGACAUACAAUACUUCCCCAUCACCCGACGUCACCCGGUUUUAUGAAAGUAGAAAUACCCCCUAUUCAGUGGAACAUCAUCAUGUAUUAUUCGUGUAUUCUGUCGAAUGGAGAAAAUCUUUCUCCGAAAAGAAGAGAAUCCCUUUCGCGCACCCGCCAGUGGACAAUUUACUCUGUGUAGAAGAACAACAAGCCCACGUAUACGCGAACGCCGCGAGCGGACAAUGCAUAACUAUAACAAAACAAUGGUCAAACUUUAUUCUGUAGAUGUAUUUGUAAAAAAAGCAAAUGAAAUCAGUUCGAAUAACACCCUCACACAAACAUUUACAGUUGCAGUGUGACAAAACACUUGAGAAACGAUGAUUCAACUACGAUAGGAAAACACACACAGAGAGAGGGAGAGAGAGAGAUCAUGAUGUUAGAUUUUGUCCUGGAACUUUUUGAGUUUUUGGGUUUCGUCGAAUCCUGUUCUUUUUCUUCUUCUUCUUUUUCGCGGUUGUAGUUCGACACCAGAACCAGAACCCGGACAAACGGAUACAAACAAAAACGCGUACGACCGUGUGCCGUACGCGUUUGUACGAACAAUCGAAAGCUGACAGAGCAUAUUUCGUUGUUUUUUCGUCUUUUAUUUAAUUUCAAAUUAAAAAAGAUUUUCAUUUGUGAGGAAAAAACAAACAAUACCUUCUGUGUCGUUCUUACUUUUUUCUUUUAUAUCAUGAAACACAGCGAGAACAAAAUAUGAAAAGAAGAAAGAGGUAAACAACAAAACAAAAAUACACCUAAAUUAUAAGAUUUGCAAACAACAAGUGAAAGUAGAUUUUUUAAUUUUUCUUUUUUUUUUACUAGGCUUAGUUUUUAAUGGUAAUACAAUGAUUACAAUGAGAAUAAAAAAACACUUCAAACUACAUACUGAAUAUACUAUAUAUAAAUAUAUGAAUAUAUAAAUGAUAUAAAAUUAAAAUUACUUGUACAGAGAUUAUUGAUAAAUGAAAAAGAUGAAAAAACAUUUGAAAAUAAUUAAAAGUAUAUAUAUUGAUAGUAAUAAAACAGCAAACAUUUGAUGAAAAAAUUAAAA